rnacentral:rRNA from 1 species
GCAAGUCGAGCGAAUGGAUUAAGAGCUUGCUCUUAUGAAGUUAGCGGCGGACGGGUGAGUAACACGUGGGUAACCUACCCAUAAGACUGGGAUAACUCCGGGAAACCGGGGCUAAUACCGGAUAAUAUUUUGAACUGCAUAGUUCGAAAUUGAAAGGCGGCUUCGGCUGUCACUUAUGGAUGGACCCGCGUCGCAUUAGCUAGUUGGUGAGGUAACGGCUCACCAAGGCGACGAUGCGUAGCCGACCUGAGAGGGUGAUCGGCCACACUGGGACUGAGACACGGCCCAGACUCCUACGGGAGGCAGCAGUAGGGAAUCUUCCGCAAUGGACGAAAGUCUGACGGAGCAACGCCGCGUGAGUGAUGAAGGCUUUCGGGUCGUAAAACUCUGUUGUUAGGGAAGAACAAGUGCUAGUUGAAUAAGCUGGCACCUUGACGGUACCUAACCAGAAAGCCACGGCUAACUACGUGCCAGCAGCCGCGGUAAUACGUAGGUGGCAAGCGUUAUCCGGAAUUAUUGGGCGUAAAGCGCGCGCAGGUGGUUUCUUAAGUCUGAUGUGAAAGCCCACGGCUCAACCGUGGAGGGUCAUUGGAAACUGGGAGACUUGAGUGCAGAAGAGGAAAGUGGAAUUCCAUGUGUAGCGGUGAAAUGCGUAGAGAUAUGGAGGAACAC